CAUGGUCCGACCCUGUUUCUACUAAAAAUACAAAAAAAAAUUAACCUGGCGUGGUGGCAUGCUCCUGUAAUCCCAGCUACUUGGGAGGCUGAGGCAGGGGAAUUGCUUGAACUAGGGAGGUGGAGGUUGCAGUGAGCCAAGGUUGCACCACUGCACUCCAGCCUGAGUGACAGAGCAAGACUCCCUCUCAAAAAAGAAAAAGAAAAACAAAUCUUUUUUGUUGGAAGUAGAAUCUGGGUUAGAAUUUUUUUCUUUUGGCACUUCAAAGAUGUUUCAGUGUCUUCCAGCCCCCUCGUUUCUGAUGAGAAGUUAGCAGCCAUUCCAGGCUUUUCCUUCUGUUGUCUGGCACUGGUGGGUUCUUGGUCUCAUUGACUUCAAGAAUGAAGCCGUGGACCCUUGCGCUAUUUUACAUAAGGAAAGUGGGUGGUGAUUAACCUCAGAGUCUCCAGGGACAGACUAUCCAGGACUGUGCCUGAAAUAGAAGAGGAAUUAACAUCAUACAGAACUGAAUACGGUGACUGAGGGGAGUUUGUGUCUCCCCUUUUAGGAAAGAAGAUGAGAAUAAGUAUGAAGGAGAGUCAUGUACUGUACAUUAAGCAAAAGCAUGAUGCUGUUAUUUGAAAUGUUAAUUAGAGGUGCCCACUAAAAAC
rnacentral:lncRNA from 1 species